CAGUAGCGUAUAUUAAAGUUGUUGCAGUUAAAAAGCUCGUAGUUGUAACGAGGCCACAUGGCCAUAACAUGGGGAAUGGAUGCUGCAUUAGGUUGUGGCUUUCAUGAAGCAUGUAUUUUACUGUGAACAAAUUAGGGUGUUUAAAGCAGACAAUUGUUUGAAUACAUUAGCAUGGAAUAAUGAGAUACAACUGCGUGCGUCAGUAGGUGAUGCUCGGAGUGAUGAUUGAAAGGAACAGUUGUGGGUAUUCGUAUGGGAAUGUCAGAGGUGAAAUUCUUGGAUUUGUUAAGACGGACUACUGCGAAAGCAUUUGCCAAGGAUGUUUUCAUUGA
rnacentral:rRNA from 1 species